rnacentral:rRNA from 1 species
ANCCAGCUUGCUGGGUGGAUUAGUGGCGAACGGGUGAGUAAUACGUGAGUAACCUGCCUUUAACUCUGGGAUAAGCCUUGGAAACGAGGUCUAAUACCGGAUACGACCAGUUCCCGCAUGGGAUGCUGGUGGAAAGGGAUAUGUACUGGUUUUAGAUGGGCUCACGGCCUAUCAGCUUGUUGGUGGGGUAAUGGCUCACCAAGGCGACGACGGGUAGCCGGCCUGAGAGGGUGACCGGCCACACUGGGACUGAGACACGGCCCAGACUCCUACGGGAGGCAGCAGUGGGGAAUAUUGCACAAUGGGCGCAAGCCUGAUGCAGCGACGCCGCGUGAGGGAUGACGGCCUUCGGGUUGUAAACCUCUUUCAGCAGGGAAGAAGCGAAAGUGACGGUACCUGCAGAAGAAGCGCCGGCUAACUACGUGCCAGCAGCCGCGGUAAUACGUAGGGCGCGAGCGUUGUCCGGAAUUAUUGGGCGUAAAGAGCUUGUAGGCGGUUUGUCGCGUCUGCUGUGAAAGCCCGGGGCUUAACCCCGGGUUUGCAGUGGGUACGGGCUAACUAGAGUGCAGUAGGGGAGACUGGAAUUCCUGGUGUAGCGGUGAAAUGCGCAGAUAUCAGGAGGAACACCGAUGGCGAAGGCAGGUCUCUGGGCUGUAACUGACGCUGAGAAGCGAAAGCAUGGGGAGCAAACAGGAUUAGAUACCCUGGUAGUCCAUGCCGUAAACGUUGGGCACUAGGUGUGGGGGGCAUUCCACGUUUUCCGCGCCGUAGCUAACGCAUUAAGUGCCCCGCCUGGGGAGUACGGCCGCAAGGCUAAAACUCAAAGAAAUUGACGGGGGCCCGCACAAGCGGCGGAGCAUGCGGAUUAAUUCGAUGCAACGCGAANAACCUUACCAAGGCUUGACAUAUACUGGACCGCUCUANAGAUAGGGUUUCCCUUCGGGGCUGNUAUACAGGNGGNGCAUGGUUGUCNNCAGCUCGNGNCGUGAAAUGUUGGNUAAAUCCCNCANCAAGNGNANCCUCGUUNUUGUUGCCACACGNNUGGGGGGACUCNANGAAAUGCNGGNNCACUCGNGAAGGGGGGAUGC